GCCCGGGUGGCGGAAUAGGCAGACGCACGGGACUUAAAAUCCCGCGAGGUUUACCCCUCGUGCCGGUUCGACCCCGGCCUCGGGCA
rnacentral:tRNA from 1 species